GGGUCAGAUCCAGAUGCUGGACUACAGUGGACCAGAACCAGCCUCUGGAUGUCGGACAAACUGAGUCUCUGUGGCUUUGAGCUGUGACCGGUGCCGUCUGAGACCGGGUCACGUGACGCUUGGUCUGAAGCUGACGUAACAGGACGAACAUGUGGAGUCGAUCUCCACUCUGACAGUUCAACUAAACAUAUGGAACAGAACCCUGGGGGUGUUUAGAUAACAGGAGCCUGGGCGGUCUGGGUUUAAGACAUUCCUUCCUGUUUCCUCUGAACUGGUGUUUCCUCGGACCGGAUCUUCCGGUUUCCUGUCAGAGCCUUUUGUUUCAGCCUCACAGAUCAGACGGUUCUUCGGCCGACGUCGUUUCAAACAAUCUGCGGUUUAUAGGACACCUGGGUCCAUCUGCGGUCCAGAGGACACCCGGGUCCACUUGGCUCUUAUCAGGACCUGGGUCAGAUCUGCUUCAGAUCCACUGCAAACAACAGAGAUACGUGACAAAAUGUUUGGAGCUAACACUAAAGCUCUGAUAAAAAACCUGGGCGCUGAAGGAGACCUCAUCUACAAUAAAAACAUCAACACGAAGGUGCCGAUACUGACUCUGGUCAAAGAAAAAGACUGGGUGUUGUGGCCAUGGAUCAAGUACACUUUGGUCGACCAAUCACUGCUCGACCUGCUGGAGGAGGCGGAGUUCACACCAGAGUACAAAGAGGACGUUCUGGCAAAGAACAUCACCAUGAGCCAAUUCAUAUCCGGCAGCGGAGAGGUGGGGCUUAAAACUCCUAAAGGGGCGGCAAACCUUCAAGUGACAGGUGGUGUGGACACUGUGGACGCAGUGUCCACAUUCACCCUGAACAGAAGGACAGUGAACAUCGACAAACUGAGGAAGAGCUGCAAUGGCAGGAAACUGAAGCAGGAGGAGGUGGACGGGCUGAGACUGAAGAAAUCAGAGAAGCUGAAGUUUGUCUAUCAGACUGUCUUCAACGUUGCCCCGGUGACAUUUGACAAAGGAGAAGGAAGUAAGGGCUCCAUGACGGCAGGAUGCUCCCUGUUCACAAAACUGCAAAUGAUGGUCAGCAGAAAACAGAAGAUGAAGUUUGAUAUCGAUGCAAACUUCACCUUUGCCUACAGCCUGAUGGAGAUAACAACAGAUGGAGGCACAUUGGGAAUCCCACGCAGAACCACGAAGGUGGACAUGUGCAAACCAGGAUGUUGGCCCAUCAGCUCUGACAGCGCUGGAGACUAUCUGCAGACGGCGGUACAAGAGAUCAAGAAGAAGGAGCGUUUCCUUCAGCCUCUGUCAGGUCUGAAAGAGUCGACUCGUCGGGAUCUGAUGAACAAACUGAGACAGAUUAAGGACGAUGAAAAUGCUCUGACUCAGCUGGAGGACACGUUGGAUCAGAACAGUUCAGGUUCAGAUCUUCCUCAGUCCGACCUCUCAUCAGGUCAGAGGAGAGCCGUCCUGUUGCUCGUCAGCGCCAUCAACACCCUCCCCCUCGGUGCAGCUCCUCUUCUGAUUGGCUCUGACCCUAUUGCUCUGAACGACCUCCGACAGCUGGUGAGAGAUCUGAUAGACGGUCAGGUGACCCACCCUGAGGCUCCGCCCCCCUCCCUGAAGGAGGAAGGAGAGCUGAGCUGGGCGGCCGAGCUCCUCUGCUCCACCAAUCAGACGCUGAGCCAGCUGAGCAUGCCGAGCAAGCAGUGGGUGGGGCCAGACACGCCUCCAGAAGUGCUGCUGGAGGUGCUGAGCCUCACUGUGAUUGGACUGGAUCUGAUGAUGUCAUCACGCAAUUAACGACUAUGAAAAUAUUACGAAACUAGAAAAGUACCCAGACAGUACAGACCUUCGCCAAGGCAGAUUAGGUAAGGUUAGGUUUAGGGUUAGCACGGUUAGUGCAAUUAGUGGUAAGGGUUAGGGAUUAGCGUGAUUAGUGGCUAGAGUGAUUAGCGGUUGGGGUUAGGGUUAGCUAGCGCAUUCACAUGCCAUCAAAUGGCAUUAAAUAACACGUGAAAGGAUGCAAAUGUGUACGUAUAGCAUGCCAAAUGCAAUAAACUGGUGCCACAUAAAACUUCAUUUCAUGAGAUCAGUCUGAAAAAUAACACAAAUAAAGCACGAACCAACCAUGUAGCAUCAGCAACACUCCCCCGACACCCCCCCACACACACACAAAAUACCUUUCCUCCUUUUU
rnacentral:lncRNA from 1 species